AUUCACUCUGUAGACUAGGCUGGC
rnacentral:piRNA from 1 species